CCCAGACUCCUACGGGAGGCAGCAGUGGGGAAUCUUCCGCAAUGGGCGCAAGCCUGACGGAGCAAUGCCGCGUGAACGAAGAAGGUCUUCGGAUUGUAAAGUUCUGUCCUUAUCGAAGAGAGGGUAUAGAGUGAAAAAUGAUAUACUAGGGCGGUAGAUGAGGAGGAAGCCCCGGCUAACUACGUGCCAGCAGCCGCGGUAAUACGUAGGGGGCGAGCGUUGUCCGGAAUCACUGGGCGUAAAGGGCGCGUAGGCGGUAAUAUAAGUCAGAUGUGAAAUCCGGGGGCUCAACCCCCGAACUGCAUUUGAAACUGUUGGUCUUGAGUAUCGGAGAGGCAGGCGGAAUUCCUAGUGUAGCGGUGAAAUGCGUAGAUAUUAGGAGGAACACCAGUGGCGAAGGCGGCCUGCUGGACGACAACUGACGGUGAGGCGCGAAAGCGUGGGGAGCAAACAGGAUUAGAUACCCUUGUA
rnacentral:rRNA from 1 species